AGCCAGCUGGCCUAGUGGUUUGAUCGUUGGACUCUGACUCUGCAGACCAGAGUUGGAAUCCCUGCUCGGCCA